AGUGAACGCUGGCGGUAGGCCUAGCACAUGCCAGUCGAACGGCAGCACAGUAAGAGCUUGCUCUUACGGGUGGCGAGUGGCGGACGGGUGAGGAAUACAUCGGAAUCUACUUUUUCGUGGGGGAUAACGUAGGGAAACUUACGCUAAUACCGCAUACGACCUACGGGUGAAAGCAGGGGAUCUUCGGACCUUGCGCGAUUGAAUGAGCCGAUGUCGGAUUAGCUAGUUGGCGGGGUAAAGGCCCACCAAGGCGACGAUCCGUAGCUGGUCUGAGAGGAUGAUCAGCCACACUGGAACUGAGACACGGUCCAGACUCCUACGGGAGGCAGCAGUGGGGAAUAUUGGACAAUGGGCGCAAGCCUGAUCCAGCCAUACCGCGUGGGUGAAGAAAGCCUUCGGGUUGUAAAGCCCUUUUGUUGGGAAAGAAAAGCAGCAGGUUAAUACCCCGCUGUUCUGACGGUACCCAAAGAAUAAGCACCGGCUAACUUCGUG
rnacentral:rRNA from 1 species